GCAAACUUUGCGCAUUGCCCUGCGGAUGCCACUAAUGAUGUGAUACAGACACAUGCCCGUGUCUAUAUGUGGUAUGUUGUCUCGAGGACUUUGUUUCCUGACUCGACGGGCAAGAACGCUCCAUGGAUGUGGCUGAAGGCGUUGACCGUCUUCGAUAGCGGAUGGAGCUGGGGUUCAACGACUCUUGCUUACUUGUACCGACAGGUACUUGUUUUGUUUUGCUAUCAAGUCAUUUCUUCAUUAGCAAAUGCAACCUUGCUGUCAAGUUAA
rnacentral:rRNA from 1 species